CAAAUACUCCCUCCGUCUGAAAAUACUUGUCAUCAAAAUGGAUAAAAGGAAAUAUAUCUAGAUGUAUUUUAGUUUUAGAUACAUCUCUUUUUAUCCAUUUUGAUGACAAGUAUUUUCGGACGGAGGGAGUAGAAA
rfam:Triticum aestivum genome assembly, contig: Triticum_aestivum_CS42_TGACv1_scaffold_133245_2BL